rnacentral:rRNA from 1 species
GUCGGAUCCUAAGGCGAGGCCGAAAGGCGUAGUCGAUGGAAAACAGGUUAAUAUUCCUGUACCCGGCAGUACUGCGAUGGGGGGACGGAGAAGGCUAAAUCAGCCGGCUGUUGGUUGCCGGUUUAAGCAAGUAGGCAGAGGACUUAGGCAAAUCCGGGUCCUUAAUGCUGAGAUGUUAUGACGAUCUCCUUUAUGGAGAGAAGUGGUUGAUGCCAUGCUUCCAGGAAAA